GGCGUUGAAUUAAUUUUUGGUUGGAAAGUCCUCGAACCAUUAUUUUUUUAAAAUUUUCAUACGAGAAUAAAUUUUAGUAGAAUUAUUGUUCACGGAUUCUUCCCGCCAAAAAGUUAUUCUAAUGCC
rnacentral:pre_miRNA from 1 species